rnacentral:rRNA from 1 species
GUGGGUAACCUGCCUUAUAGUGGGGGAUAGCCUUUCGAAAGGAAGAUUAAUACCGCAUAAGAUUGUAGUAUCGCAUGAUAUAGCAAUUAAAGGAGCAUCGCUAUAAGAUGGACCCGCGUCGCAUUAGCUAGUUGGUGAGGUAAUGGCUCACCAAGGCGACGAUGCGUAGCCGACCUGAGAGGGUGAUCGGCCACAUUGGGACUGAGACACGGCCCAGACUCCUACGGGAGGCAGCAUG